rnacentral:siRNA from 1 species
UGUAAACUAAUAAAUACAUAUC